GAGGUAUUUAUUUGUUUUUAUAAAUACUUUGAAUUUUGAAUUUUGAAUGAUUACUUUGUUCCCUUUUUUUUGUAGAUAUUUGUCAUCACCCUCAUACUAAAAGUGGUCCUAGUUUACUUUCAUAACUUGCAGCAUUUGGAUGUAUGAUCCUUUUCGCUCAUGUUAGAAUGGGUGGUAAACAUAGGAAGGUUUUAAUUUUUUGAUGUUAAACGAUGUCUGAUUGUGGAAGAGUUAUUGAAACUCUUUUCAGAGUUGGAUCCUAGUGAGGUAACAUUUACGUUCUUGUCUCUUGAAACUUGGCACUAGAAUUUUUCAAAAGCACUGAAAAAUUAUUUACAAUUUUUUUUUUCUUAAGUGAUUUGGCAGCUAUAUCAAGCUAUUGUGCUCCCUCAACAUUAUACCCACCAAAGGGUUUUAAGCAGAUUCUGGGCUAUUGCUGUGCUCAAAGAAUACGUUGUGCACCACAUCCCACAAAUGGCACUUCAACAAUAUUUUGAUGGGAAACUUGCCAUAGAAGAGGAAUAGUUGUCGAAGCUUCAUGUGGUCCUAUUUAAGCGCGAAGCAGCCAGCCCCUUUGUUAUGUUUACGAGUAUAACAUGUUGGAACCAAAGGUGGGUAAGAUUAGUAAGUACUUAACUGGUGAUACCUAACACCCCUACAACUUAUAAUUUGGAGGCUGUUGCUACACUCGCUAACCAAUCAGAGAUGCCUAGCAUCCCUGUAACUCAUCAUUUGGUGGUGAUGUGAAUGAUGGGGAUGAUCAAAAUUCGCCAAGAGUUUUAAGAAGACUCGAGAAGACAAAUCCAUGGUUCAAAGAUUAUGUAGUGGCGUCUAUAGUCGGGUCUCCUAAGUGUUGAAGGAAGAAAGGUAUAUCACUUUUUAACAGAAAACGUUCCAAGGGUUUUGAUUUUUUGACCGGCAACAAAAAAAUUGUAGUUCUCCAAAAGAAGUGCCUUUUUUACCUCAAGAACACUGCUUUCCUUGAUCAAACCAAGAUUGGUGACUAUAUGGGGGAAAGAGACGAAUUGUCUCUCAAAGUUGUGCAUGCUUAUGUUGACUGCUUUAAUUUCAAAGGCAUGGAUUUUGGUGAAGCCAUAAGGUUUUUUCUUUGGGGCUUCAGGCUGCUUGGUGAGGCACAGAAGAAUAUUGAUUGCUUCAUGGACAAGUUUGCUAAGCGUUAUUGUAAAUGCAAUCUAAGUUCUUUUAGUAGUGCAGAUACUUCAUAUGUCUUGGCUUACUCUGUGAUAAUGCUCAAUACAGAUGCUCAUAAUAGCAUGGUGAAAGAUAAGAUGACAAAGGCUGAUUUUAUUCAAAACAAUUGGGGAAUAGAUGAUGGAAAGGAUCUGCCUGAAGAGUAUCUCGGGGCCCUGUAUGAUCAAAUUUUUAAAGGCUAAAUCAAGAUGAAUGGUGAUUUUUCUGCACCUCAGAGCAAACAUGCAAAUAGCUUUAAUAGAUUGCUGGGUUUGGAUGGUUUACUCAAUCUUAUGAAUUGGCAGCAGAAUGAGGAUAAAGUAUUCGCUGCUAACGGCCUUCUCAUUCGUCACAUUGAGGAGCAGUUUAAGUCAGGAAAAUCAGAAUCUGUUUAUCAUGCUGUCACAGAUCUGACAGUAUUGAGGUUUAUGGUGGAACUCUGCUGGGGUCCCACGUUGGCUGGUCUCAGUGUAACCCUUGACCAGAGUGAUGACAGGAUAGCAACUUCUGAAUGCUUGCAGUGAUUUCGACAUACUGUGCAUGUUACAGCCGUGAUGGCUAUACAAAUUACAAACUCAGAGGGCUGCUUUCGUUACAUCUAUUGCCAAGUUUACAUAUCUGCAUUGUGCUGCAGAUAUUAAAGUACGAAUACAACAGAAACUUCAAGUUCCUGAUGAGAAGUUUGCCAAUUGGAAGUUUGCAGUUCUUUCACUUGGGCAACCUGAGUACCUUCAGUACUCAAACAUCGUGUCCAGUCGAUUUCAGAAGGGAUGUUUAUAGUGCUUGGGAGGAAUAUCUUGGCUUAGAGCAUGCUGAUAACGCUCCUUGAAGGGAUGUUUAUAGUGCUUGGGACCGUGUUCUUUAGUAGGGAACCUUACCGGAAAGUGUAGGUGAUUGGUUGCAUCUUAAAAUAUAGAUAUCACUAGAUGCUCAAAAUUUGACGUUUGUUUUCAGAGUAUAUGAUGAAAGUUUGGAAAGUAUGGUACAGUGCUUCUUAGUUAUCUUUCUUAAGUAUGAGGUUGUGAGUUCAAACUCUAUAA